rnacentral:rRNA from 1 species
AUUGAACGCUGGCGGCAGGCCUAACACAUGCAAGUCGAGCGGAUGAAGGGAGCUUGCUCCUGGAUUCAGCGGCGGACGGGUGAGUAAUGCCUAGGAAUCUGCCUGGUAGUGGGGGAUAACGUCCGGUAACGGGCGCUAAUACCGCACACGUCCUGAGGGAGAAAGUGGGGGAUCUUCGGACCUCACGCUAUCAGAUGAGCCUAGGUCGGAUUAGCUAGUUGGUGGGGUAAAGGCCUACCAAGGCGACGAUCCGUAACUGGUCUGAGAGGAUGAUCAGUCACACUGGAACUGAGACACGGUCCAGACUCCUACGGGAGGCAGCAGUGGGGAAUAUUGGACAAUGGGCGAAAGCCUGAUCCAGCCAUGCCGCGUGUGUGAAGAAGGUCUUCGGAUUGUAAAGCACUUUAAGUUGGGAGGAAGGGCAGUAAGUUAAUACCUUGCUGUUUUGACGUUACCAACAGAAGAAGCACCGGCUAACUUCGUG